GUCUGUGUAGUGUAAUGGGCAAGGAUCUGGGCUUGCAACCUAAAGGUCACAGGUUCAAUUCCCGGGUAGGACG
rnacentral:tRNA from 1 species